AGGUUUUGGACGAAACGGGAUUUGAGUUUUGGCAAGCGUAAAGGGCAAGAAAGGUACAGACGACAGGUUCGCUGAUCCACACGUUUAGGAUCCCGUUUCUGCUAUUUUGGGGCGCUCUCUUCUUUAGAGCCCAUCUUUUGGUACGGUCUGUCACUGAUAUCUGGAUAUGUACUUUGUUCAGGGUAUGACGGGGCCCUGUCCCGUCUUAUGAUUAUGAUAUGUUCUGUAGAGGUCUGUGGAUACAUCUGUGUGGGUUCUGUACAUAUGUUUGGGAUACUUUGUUCUAUGAUGGCCUUAUCGGCUUCUGUGUGCCAAGUCUGCUCUUCUGCUAAAUCCUGUAGCAUCCACUAAUGUUAUUAUUAUAUUAUUAUUCUGAUAA